UCGCCUUAGCCAGGUCCCUGUUGCCGCACU
rnacentral:sRNA from 1 species